rnacentral:rRNA from 1 species
GAGGAAUAUUGGUCAAUGGGCGCAAGCCUGAACCAGCCAUCCCGCGUGCAGGAAGACGGCCCUAUGGGUUGUAAACUGCUUUUCCAGGGAGAGAAACCCGCGCACGUGUUGCGCAAUUGACGGUACCCUGGGAAUAAGCAUCGGCUAACUCCGUGCCAGCAGCCGCGGUAAUACGGAGGAUGCAAGCGUUAUCCGGAUUCAUUGGGUUUAAGGGGUGCGUAGGCGGACUAUUAAGUCAGUGGUGAAAGCCUGCAGCUUAACUGCAGAACUGCCAUUGAUACUGAUAGUCUUGAGUUUGGUUAAGGUAGGCGGAAUGUGUAAUGUAGCGGUGAAAUGCUUAGAUAUUACACAGAACACCAAUUGCGUAGGCAGCUUACUGAGCCGACACUGACGCUGAGGCACGAAAGCGUGGGGAUCGAACAG